AUGCACUACAAAUUUAGUGGCUUCAAGCAGAAGUUGGUGGGAGCAUGGGCUUUGAGGCCUAAAGCCCACAGGGAUUAAAGCCUGUGACAGAAGCACCACCUAUAUCAUGUUUGCUACACCAACUAAACUGACCUCCAAUUCCACUGCAUGUGAAUCUGCUGGGAAAAACAAAGUUCCAGAACUGCAGAAGUUUUUCCAGAAAUCUGACAGUGUGACCAUCCACCUGAAACAAGGCCUGCCUGACCAAAUGCAUUAUGGGACAGCCAUGGUGCUGAACUGUGGGAGGGACCAUCUACUACCUGAUCGCCCUCUUCAUGGCUUCACAGCCCUCAAACUAAG
rnacentral:lncRNA from 1 species